CGUCGAGAAGCACCCUUGUCCUCUUCGGCGCACUUGUCUUUGUUUCCUCGGGCGGCUUGUCCGACGGAACCUCCAUCAAAACCUUUUUGUAGUGCCUGUAUUAGUCUGAUACCAACAAAAAAAUCUUAACAACUUUCAACAAUGGAUCUCUUGGUUCUGGCAUCGAUGAAGAACGCAGCGAAAUGCGAUAAGUAGUGUGAAUUGCAGAAUUCAGUGAAUCAUCGAAUCUUUGAACGCACAUUGCGCCCUUUGGUUAUUCCUCAGGGCAUGCUUGUUCGAGCGUCAUUCUCACCCUCCAAGCCCCGCUUGGCCAUGGGCGCCUUGUCCCGCCACCGCGCGCGGACUCGCCCCAAACCUACCGGCGGCCGACCCCGUAAGCCUGAGCGCAGCAGAAACGCGCCUCUGGGCGGCAGGGCGCGGCAGGCCUUGUAAAAUGACCCCCCUCGA
rnacentral:sRNA from 1 species